rnacentral:rRNA from 1 species
UUACUUCGGUACAUCGGUGACAGGUGGUGCAUGGUUGUCGUCAGCUCGUGUCGUGAGAUGUUGGGUUAAGUCCCGCAACGAGCGCAACCCUCGUACUUAGUUGCCAGUCAUUCAGUUGGGCACUCUAAGGUGACUGCCGGCUAAAAGUCGGAGGAAGGUGGGGAUGACGUCAAAUCAUCAUGCCCCUUAUGACCUGGGCUACACACGUGCUACAAUGGGCGGUACAAAGGGUCGCGAACCCGCGAGGGGGAGCCAAUCCCAAAAAGCCGCUCUCAGUUCGGAUUGCAGGCUGCAACUCGCCUGCAUGAAGCCGGAAUCGCUAGUAAUCGCGGAUCAGCACGCCGCGGUGAAUACGUUCCCGGGCCUU